rnacentral:rRNA from 1 species
CCUACGGGGGGCAGCAGUGGGGAAUAUUGGACAAUGGGCGAAAGCCUGAUCCAGCCAUGCCGCGUGUGUGAAGAAGGCCUUCGGGUUGUAAAGCACUUUCAGUGGGGAAGAAAGCCUUGGGGCUAAUACCCUCGAGGAAGGACAUCACCCACAGAAGAAGCACCGGCUAACUCCGUGCCAGCAGCCGCGGUAAUACGGAGGGUGCGAGCGUUAAUCGGAAUUACUGGGCGUAAAGCGGGCGUAGGCGGUCUGAUAAGCCGGUUGUGAAAGCCCCGGGCUCAACCUGGGAACGGCAUCCGGAACUGUCAGGCUAGAGUGCAGGAGAGGAAGGUGGAAUUCCCGGUGUAGCGGUGAAAUGGGUAGAGAUCGGGAGGAAUACCAGUGGCGAAGGCGGCCUUCUGGACUGACACUGACGCUGGGGUGCGAAAGCGUGGGUAGCAAACAGGAUUAGAUACCCAGUAGUC